UACAGGGGGGGGCAAGCGUUUGUUCGGAAUUACUGGGCGUAAAGGGCUCGUAGGUGGCCAACUAAGUCGGACGUGAAAUCCCUCAGCUUAACUGGGGAACUGCAUCCGAUACUGGAUGGCUUGAGUUUGGGGAGAGGGAUGCGGAAUUCCAGGUGUAGCGGUGAAAUGCGUAGAUAUCUGGAGGAACAUCAGUGGCGAAAGCGACUUCCUGGACCAAUACUGACGCUCAUGUGCGAAAGCGUGGGGGAGCAAACAGG
rnacentral:rRNA from 1 species